rnacentral:rRNA from 1 species
UCGGAUUGUAGUNUGCAACCCGACUACAUGAAGCUGGAAUCGCUAGUAAUCGCGAAUCAGAAUGUCGCGGUGAAUACGUUCCCGGGUCUUGUACACACCGCCCGUCACACCAUGGGAGUCGGAAAUGCCCAAAGUCAGUGACCUAACCGAAAGGGAGGAGCUGCCGAAGGUGGAGCCGGUAACUGGGGUGAAGUCGUAACAAGGUAGC